rnacentral:misc_RNA from 1 species
UCCGAGUUAACCCCGGCAGUCUCCCGCGAGUCCCCAACUCAAUGCUGGCAACACGGGAUAAGGGUUGCGCUCGUUGCGGGACUUAACCCAACACCUCACGGCACGAGCUGACGACAACCAUGCACCACCUGUAUAGGACGCCGAAGCACACCAUAUCUCUAUGGCUUUUCCCUAUAUUUCAAGCCCUGGUAAGGUUCUUCGCGUUGCGUCGAAUUAAGCCACAUGCUCCGCCGCUUGUGCGGGCCCCCGUCAAUUCCUUUGAGUUUUAACCUUGCGGUCGUAAUCCCCAGGCGGGGUGCUUAAUGCGUUAGCUACGGCACAGGACCCGUCAAUGGGAUCCCACACCUAGUGCCCAUCGUUUACGGCGUGGACUAC